rnacentral:lncRNA from 1 species
UUCUCCCCCCCACCCCCUUUCAAACAUGUCCCACCCAUCUUAGCCUGGUGCAGUUCCUUCAGCUGCUCCUAUACUUGGUAUGACCUUUUCUCAUCCCCACCCCCUUUCGACUCCCUCCUCUCUCUUUCCUUGCUCUUUCCCUCCUUAUGUUGUGAGUGUGAUGGCCAAUGGGCUUCUCUAGAAGAUCAAAUGUCACUAUAACAGGAGGACUUAAUCACCUCGUUGAGUUUGCAGACCCUGCAGCCUGUCCCAUUCGGCAGAAAGCUCCUCGCUUCUCUCAGCUCUCCCCUCUCAGAAACCUACUGCCAACAUGUCUGAUACCGAAGAAGUGGAGCAAGUAGAGGGUGAGUAUGAAAUGCCACAAAAUGCUUCAUUUUUCCUGAUUUCCUUUUUGAACGUGCAUUCAUUUUUUAAAAAAUGUACUCAGUAACAUCUGAUAUUAAAUUUUUUUUAUUCAGUUAAAAUUAUCUAUGUCUUGAAGAUAUCUCUUAACUUUUUCCAGCCCCUUUUCCUUAUUCCAUACCCCUAUUUUGUCUGUGACCCUGUUUGGUCAGAGGAGAUGGCUGUGGAAUAAAGCAGCUACUUGGCAUGAACA